rnacentral:rRNA from 1 species
GUUGAACGCUGGCGGCAUGCCUAACACAUGCAAGUCGAGCGUAUGAACGAGACUUUCUCCUCUCUUCUGCUUCCGACGGAUGGGUAAUUCCUAUGUAUCUACCUUUUAUUUUUGACUAACGUCCUUUAACGAGCCCUAAUCCAGCAUACGUCCUUAUUUUGAAACGCAUGGUUCUUCGGUCCUCGUCCUUUCUGAUGUUCCUAGGACGGAUUAGCUAGUUGGUUGGGUAAAGGCGUACCAAGGCGACGAUCCGUAACUGGUCUGAGAGGAUGAUCAGUCACACUGGAACUGAGACACGGUCCAGACUCCUACGGGAGGCAGCAGUGGGGAAUAUUGGACAAUGGGCGAAAGCCUGAUGCAGCAAUGCCGCGUGUGUGAAGAAGGUCUUCGGAUUGUAAAGCACUUUAAGUAGGGAGGAAGGGAAGUAAGUUAAUACCUUGAUGUUUUGACGUUACCAAAAGAAAAAGCAACGGCUAACUUCGUG